rnacentral:rRNA from 1 species
AUUAUAGGUAGGGGAGCGUUCUGGUCUCGGGUGAAGUUUAUACGUAAGUAUGGAUGGACGAACCAGAAGUGAGAAUGUUGGCUUGAGUAACGAAAACAUCGGUGAGAAUCCGAUGCCCCGAAAACCUAAGGGUUCCUCCACUAGGCUCGUCCAUGGGGGGUUAGUCAGGACCUAAGACCAGGCCAAAUGGCGUCGUCGAUGGAAAACAGGUUAAUAUUCCUGUACGAAUUUUAUUAAGAUCUGGGGGACGAAGGAGGCUACUCUAAAACUGUUUUUGGAUUGCAGUGGAAGCGUUUAGGUUGAGAGAUAGAAUAAAAACUAUCUUUUUGGUCUCUGGCCAAAAAACUGAGACGUGAUCCCUGUCUUAUGGUUCGCCAUAAGAUAGUUAGAAUAUGUCAAACUUCCAAGAAAAUCCCAUACAUCUAUAUAAUAAAGUUCCCUGUACCUGAAACCGACACAGGUAGGUUGGUAGAGAAUACCAAGGGGCGCGAGAGAACUCUCUCUAAGGAACUCGGCAAACUGGCCCCGUAACUUCGGAAGAAGGGGCGCCCUCUAAAAAAGGGUCGCAGUGACCAGGCCCAGGCGACUGUUUACCAAAAACACAGGUCUCCGCAAAGUCGAAAGACAAAAUAUGGGGGCUGACGCCUGCCCAGUGCCGGAAGGUUAAGGAAGUUGGUUAUUUCGCAAGAAAAAAGCUGACGACCGAAGCCCCGGUGAACGGCGGCCGUAACUAUAACGGUCCUAAGGUAGCGAAAUUCAUUGUCGAGUAAGUUUCGACCUGCACGAAAGGCGUAACGAUCUGGGCGCUGUCUCGGAGAGAGGCUCGGUGAAAUAGACUUGUCCCGUGAAGAUGCGGACUACUUACACCUGGACAGAAAGACCCUAUGAAGCUUGACUGUAUCUUGGAAUUGGGUUUGGGCUUUUCUUGCGCAGCCUAGGUGGGAGGCUAUGAUGAUUUCCUUCCGGGGAAGUUGGAGCCGUCAUUGAGAGACCACUCUGGAAGAGCUAGAAUCCUAAUGGGGAUCCUUGAAUCAGGACCCUUGAAAGUUUCAGGUGGGCAGUUUAUUUGGGGCGAAUGCCUCCCAAAAGGUAACGGAGGCGUGCAAAGGUUCCCUCAGUCUGGACGGAAAUCAGACAUUGAGUGCAAAGGCAAAAGGGAGCUUGACUGCAAGACCUACAAGUCGAGCAGGGGCGAAAGCCGGCCUUAGUGAUCCGACGGUGCCGUGUGGAAGGGCCGUCGCUCAACGGAUAAAAGUUACUCUAGGGAUAACAGGCUGAUCUUCCCCAAGAGUUCACAUCGACGGGAAGGUUUGGCACCUCGAUGUCGGCUCAUCACAUCCUCGAUCUGUAGUAGGUUCCGAAGGGUUGGGCUGUUCGCCCAUUAAAGUGGUACGUGAGCUGGGUUCAGAACGUCGUGAGACAGUUCGGUCCAUAUCCGGUGUAAGCGUUAGAGUAUUGAGGGGAGCCUUCUAUAGUACGAGAGGACCUAGAAGGACAUGCCAAUGGUGUACCAGUUCUCAUUCCAAUGGGAAACGCUGGGUAGCUAUGCAUGGAUAGAUAACUGCUGAAAGCAUCUAAGUAGGAAGCUAACCCCAAGAUGAGUACUCUCUUUAAGGUCGCGGCCAGAUAAGCCGUUUAAUAGGCAUCAGGUGUACAAUCAGCAAUGACUUUAGCCGAGAUGUACUAAAGACCGAUAGAUUUUGAC